AGGGUGGUGAUGGAGGCCCCUGGGGGCACUGCCAGGGUCUUGGAAGUACAACCACUGCUGGGAUCCUGCCAUCACAGGUGCUCAUUUUACAGACGAGAAGAAUGAGGCAAAGAAAAGAGCAACUUGCCCAAGUCCCCACAACCAAAAAGUGGUAGAGCUAGGAUGAACUCAGGACCUGCUUGCAAGACCUGGGACUUGCCCCAGGAUCACCAUGCAAUCACAGGAAUGGCUGAACAGAAGUUACUACUCUCUGGGCCUCAGUUUCACCAUCUAAGAGGGUUGGAUCAUUCUCCCCAGCUCUAAGGUCCUGAGAGCAGCCCCCUUGGGAGAGGGUUGUCGCUAAGACAGAGGGGGUGGGCAGGGGG